UCGCGACGAAGCGUGGGGCUCAAGUGCGGACAUGCUCCGCGGUGUGAUUCUGCAACGGCGGACGUGCGUGGGGUGGGCUGCUCCGUUUCCGGCCUGACCCGGUUCCCUCGCUUCAACGGCGGACCCGCGCCACCCUCUGCAGGGGGGCAAGCCACACCGACACACAGCCAAGCAGAGCACCACGUCAACGCAGCAAAUCACCCUCGCUGGUCCACGUCCUCCCCGCUAAGCCUGGUUAGCCCCCGAAGGUUACAGAGCA
rnacentral:SRP_RNA from 2 species